rnacentral:rRNA from 1 species
UACUGCCUGGUAGUGGGGGACGAACGUUUCGAAAGGAACGCUAAUACCGCAUACGUCCUACGGGAGAAAGCAGGGACCUUCGGGCCUUGCGCUAUCAGAUGAGCCUAGGUCGGAUUAGCUAGUUGGUGAGGUAAUGGCUCACCAAGGCGACGAUCCGUAACUGGUCUGAGAGGAUGAUCAGUCACACUGGAACUGAGACACGGUCCAGACUCCUACGGGAGGCAGCAGCC